AACCCAAGCUGGGAACACGCUGGCACCCAACCCCUGGCCCCACCCCAAGCUAGCCCCCAGAAAGCGGAAGCAGCUGGUCCACUGAGGAGGAGGGCCAGGGGGCUGUUGAUGCUCCCUGCCCUUGGGAUGCACUUGAGGCGGUGGGACCCUGCCCUUGCCGCUCCUGAGGCUCCUGAGACGGAAAGAAAAGGACUCUUCAUUUUAAAGAGGAGAAAAUUUCUCCUUCCAGCCAGAGCAUUCCAGGCCGCCUUGUCCCUGGGAACUAGGGACGUUCGUCCAGCCCCACUGGGCCCACCCACCCAGAACCCCGAUCCACACUGGCAGGAGCUGAGGACAGCUGGGCUCACCCUGGCCGGGGCACCACCAUGGCUGCCACAGGCCUUGGCCUUACUCUUCAUGGCACACCACCUGUCCGGACCACCCUGGCCUCUGCACUGGUCCCUCCACUCUGCAAACUUGGCUCCCACCAGACAAGAAAGGGACCCGGAGGAGGACAGAGCCAAGGCGGGCGAAGGAGCAGGCACUCGACCCCCCAUGUCCCUCCAGCAAGGCCCUGAAGUUCUGAGGGGCAGUCGAAGCAGGGCUCCAGUCUCCAUGAAACCCAGACCAGCCACUAAACUCCCAAGGGACUGGACCAUGAUGAUCUGUCCCUGAAGACUUCACUCGGCUGGAAUGAUGACAGCGCAGAUGACACUGGUCCCCCGAGCGCUCGGCACACACAGCGUUGGCAGGAUGAAGUCUGUGGCCCCUCCAGGGAAGGCCGGGUGACACAGGGCAGCUUGGGGACGUGCCAAAAAACAGGAGACAGGAAUGACCAUCUCCGAAAUCCCCUCUGGGAUCAGCCCCACCUGACCCCCCCCCCCCCAGGAAUC